GUUUUCAUAGUGUAAAUUUUAACAUAUUGCAUUUUCAUUGCUAAGCUGAAGGCCUUUUUCUGAAAACU
rnacentral:tRNA from 1 species